rnacentral:rRNA from 1 species
GGCGGGAGAAGAUCGAGCUGCGGCCCGGCCCGCAGAACUCGGCAAUCGUCUCGCGGCACAACGAAAGGGAGGUCGAGAGCAGACCCACGGGAGCGAGCACUUGCCACGACAGCGACUCGUAGCACCACAUGAGGUAAACUGUAGGGAACAUGAAUAUUGAGAAGACAUAAUAUUUAUCCGUCUGUGCGGGGACGAAGGACAGUCUGAUGGUUCGACUAGCGGUCGUCGUGACGUCGUCCGCGAGGUGACAAAGCCGCAGCGGCAGAUAUUUCGAGAGAUGGAACUUCCGCGAAGACCCGAAACAAACCUGUCGCCUUGUACUCGGAACGUUCGAAUUCGCCCUUCCUAGGUUUAGGAAGGUCGCGAGGCAGCCGCGAGGCUUCGUAUUGCUCCAGGCAGCUGUCUUUGCCGAUAUUCAUGCGCCUACCGUUACGACCCAUACUUUACCAAGAACGUUUCCUCGUCUUAGGACUAGGUAGUGCGUAACGUUGGGAGAGUUUGUUCUACCACAGUAAGGGAUCGAAGUAGAGCCUGUUGCCCUGGUACUGGUAUUCGUGAGGCCACUCCAAGCCGGGCACCCCGCCGUGGCCGCCGUGGUAUAAGCUGCUGCCGUAUAAGUGGCCGCAGGCCGUCUAGUUGUAGUGCGCUCCCGACCCCUAUAGGAGGUACUUCCAGGAGAUGCUGGCGUUGCCCGUCCGCUAGACCCCGCUGUUCGCGCCGAGGUCGCCCCGCCGAUCUGGUCUUUUCUAUUAAAAGCUGAAGGGCUGCCUCUAGGACUGGGUGCAGUGGCCCAUGAAGCCCGGCUGCUACUAGUACCCGGGCUGCCGCUAGUUCAGGUAGUGGAAGGUGUGGUGCUUCUUCUCGGUGCCGGGCAAGCCCCUGCUCUGGCCGUGGAAGAAGAGGUCGACAGACUGCCUUCCCUCCUAGCAUCCCAAGGUGCCGUCCCCUCGCACCAUGCAGCUGUCGUAGCCCCAAGUACAGGACCUUCCGUUCCACGACAGCCUCUUUAGGCGGCCGUGCUGGGGCAACCCGCUGUACGAACGUGACGGCUACUCCCUCUAGCCCCUGCUCCAAUGCAUGCCACACCACUUUCUUGGCUAUGGCUAUCCCGGGCCCGGCACCCCUCCCCUCCCCCCGUUCGGCACCCUGCUACCGCAGAUGUGCCCGUAGUUCGUCUAGAUGCAUUGGUCUCUGCUAAAGUAGCCCAGGUAUGUCUAGCUCAUACUGGCCUCGCCCGUCAGGCAGACCAGAUGGUCCGUGCCGUUGCCGCCAGUCUAGUGUGUGUCCUAAUUCGACCUGAUGGGUGUGCUCCACGACUAGACGUAUAUGCCGAUGAUGUUGUGGACGCACCCCCUUCCCGGGUCCCACGACUCCAGCUAGUGGCAGCAGUCGUCGGCCCCGUUCAUGCCCGGCAAGCCGCUGCUCCAGCCCUGGAUGAAGUGGAGGCGGUGGUGCGUCCCCUUCCACCAGCCGAAAGUGCCGGCCUCGCGGUACAUGGACCUGCGGUAGCCCCACGUGUACGUCGUGACCGACCCCCUGUCCUUGUGGCGGUGGCGGCGGUUUGGAUUCCGGUCGAGGCAAGGGUUCUAGCAGCCAGGGUUGGGGUUCUGACCAAGACUAUUAGGGUCCCGACCAAGAUGGUGGUUCAUGAUGCAGAGGUUCAUAGAGAAAACUAAAGCGAAGCGGAUGGUAAAGUCAAGCGUCCUCUCACAAGAACGCAAAAAAAAGAUGGCCCCUCAUCAUAAAACAUAGCUUCCGUCUCGAUAUGUCGGCCAACCCCACACACUGCCGUUGGCCCUAGUCUCAUAGUCUUCUGAUCAAUUUUCCUUGUCGAGUAUGACAACGUUUGCUCGUAGUUCUAGUCUACUGUACUAGUACUGUAUACAUCGGGCGUUUGGAAGAGAACGUGAGGACCCUCCUAUUCAUCACGUCACUGUACUAGAAGGUAGGAAACAGUGUAUUAUGUAAAGUUUGUUAAC